rnacentral:rRNA from 1 species
AGAGUUUGAUCCUGGCUCAGGAUGAACGCUAGCUACAGGCUUAACACAUGCAAGUCGAGGGGCAGCAUGGUCUUAGCUUGCUAAGGCCGAUGGCGACCGGCGCACGGGUGAGUAACACGUAUCCAACCUGCCGUCUACUCUUGGACAGCCUUCUGAAAGGAAGAUUAAUACAAGAUGGCAUCAUGAGUCCACAUGUUCACAUGAUUAAAGGUAUUCCGGUAGACGAUGGGGAUGCGUUCCAUUAGAUAGUAGGCGGGGUAACGGCCCACCUAGUCUUCGAUGGAUAGGGGUUCUGAGAGGAAGGUCCCCCACAUUGGAACUGAGACACGGUCCAAACUCCUACGGGAGGCAGCAGUGAGGAAUAUUGGUCAAUGGGCGAGAGCCUGAACCAGCCAAGUAGCGUGAAGGAUGACUGCCCUAUGGGUUGUAAACUUCUUUUAUAAAGGAAUAAAGUCGGGUAUGCAUACCCGUUUGCAUGUACUUUAUGAAUAAGGAUCGGCUAACUCCGUGCCAGCAGCCGCGGUAAUACGGAGGAUCCGAGCGUUAUCCGGAUUUAUUGGGUUUAAAGGGAGCGUAGAUGGAUGUUUAAGUCAGUUGUGAAAGUUUGCGGCUCAACCGUAAAAUUGCAGUUGAUACUGGAUAUCUUGAGUGCAGUUGAGGCAGGCGGAAUUCGUGGUGUAGCGGUGAAAUGCUUAGAUAUCACGAAGAACUCCGAUUGCGAAGGCAGCCUGCUAAGCUGCAACUGACAUUGAGGCUCGAAAGUGUGGGUAUCAAACAGGAUUAGAUACCCUGGUAGUCCACACGGUAAACGAUGAAUACUCGCUGUUUGCGAUAUACAGCAAGCGGCCAAGCGAAAGCGUUAAGUAUUCCACCUGGGGAGUACGCCGGCAACGGUGAAACUCAAAGGAAUUGACGGGGGCCCGCACAAGCGGAGGAACAUGUGGUUUAAUUCGAUGAUACGCGAGGAACCUUACCCGGGCUUAAAUUGCAGAUGAAUUACGGUGAAAGCCGUAAGCCGCAAGGCAUCUGUGAAGGUGCUGCAUGGUUGUCGUCAGCUCGUGCCGUGAGGUGUCGGCUUAAGUGCCAUAACGAGCGCAACCCUUGUUGUCAGUUACUAACAGGUUCUGCUGAGGACUCUGACAAGACUGCCAUCGUAAGAUGUGAGGAAGGUGGGGAUGACGUCAAAUCAGCACGGCCCUUACGUCCGGGGCUACACACGUGUUACAAUGGGGGGUACAGAGGGCCGCUACCACGCGAGUGGAUGCCAAUCCCAAAAACCUCUCUCAGUUCGGACUGGAGUCUGCAACCCGACUCCACGAAGCUGGAUUCGCUAGUAAUCGCGCAUCAGCCACGGCGCGGUGAAUACGUUCCCGGGCCUUGUACACACCGCCCGUCAAGCCAUGAAAGCCGGGGGUACCUGAAGUGCGUAACCGCGAGGAGCGCCCUAGGGUAAAACUGGUGACUGGGGCUAAGUCGUAACAAGGUAGCCGUACCGGAAGGUGCGGCUG